GGAUUAGAAACCCUGGUAGUCCAUGCCGUAAACGAUGAACACUAGGUGUUGGGGGAGUCGAAUCCCUCGGUGCCGCAGCCAACGCGUUAAGUGUUCCGCCUGGGGAGUACGGCCGCAAGGCUAAAACUCAAAAGAAUUGACGGGGGCCCGCACAAGCAGCGGAGCAUGUGGUUUAAUUCGACGCAACGCGAAGAACCUUACCUGGGCUUGACAUGUCCGUGACCGGCGUGGAAACACGUCUUCCCUUCGGGGCACGGUCACAGGUGGUGCAUGGCUGUCGUCAGCUCGUGUCGUGAGAUGUUGGGUUAAGUCCCGCAACGAGCGCAACUCUCGCCCUUAGUUGCCAUCAUUCAGUUGGGCACUCUAAGGGG
rnacentral:rRNA from 1 species